AGUGGUUUAGUUUAAAGAAAGCGCUUGUUUUGAAAACAAGAAAUAAGAGUUCAAAACUCUUAACCAUUU
rnacentral:tRNA from 1 species